rnacentral:rRNA from 1 species
UACGUAGGGCGCAAGCGUUGUCCGGAAUUAUUGGGCGUAAAGAGCUCGUAGGCGGUCUGUCGCGUCGAUCGUGAAAACUCGGGGCUCAACCCCGAGCCUGCAGUCGAUACGGGCAGGCUAGAGUUCGGUAGGGGAGACUGGAAUUCCUGGUGUAGCGGUGAAAUGCGCAGAUAUCAGGAGGAACACCGAUGGCGAAGGCAGAUCUCUGGGCCGUAACUGACGCUGAGGAGCGAAAGCGUGGGGAGCGAACAGG